UUCCAACAUGCAUAUAACUCAUUCAAAUCAUGCAAAUAUACAUACAUUGGCUCCUAGGGGCCUCAAACUAACUUAAACCCCAACUACAACACACAAUAACAACACAUUGCUCAAAAACACAACAUAAACUCAAAAACCUAACUAUGAGCUAAACAUGCAUUCUACCCCAUAGAUCUUGCAUAAAACUUACUUUAAACAUGAAAUGAGCUUAAGAUCGGCUCCUACCUCUUGAAGAUCGAGAGAGAGACGUCCUAAACUCGGAGGUGGGAG
rnacentral:lncRNA from 1 species